rnacentral:rRNA from 1 species
UACGGAGGGUGCGAGCGUUAAUCGGAAUUACUGGGCGUAAAGCGCGCGUAGGCGGUUUGUUAAGUCAGCUGUGAAAGCCCCGGGCUCAACCUGGGAACUGCAGUUGAUACUGUCCGACUAGAGUACGAGAGAGGGAGGUAGAAUUCCAUGUGUAGCGGUGAAAUGCGUAGAUAUAUGGAGGAAUACCAGUGGCGGAGGCGGCCUCCUGGCUCGAUACUGACGCUGAGGUGCGAAAGCGUGGGGAUCAAACAGG